CCUACGGGUGGCAGCAGUGGGGAAUAUUGGACAAUGGGCGAAAGCCUGAUCCAGCCAUGCCGCGUGUGUGAAGAAGGCCUUCGGGUUGUAAAGCACUUUCAGUGGGGAAGAAAGCCUUGGGGCUAAUACCCUCGAGGAAGGACAUCACCCACAGAAGAAGCACCGGCUAACUCCGUGCCAGCAGCCGCGGUAAUACGGAGGGUGCGAGCGUUAAUCGGAAUUACUGGGCGUAAAGCGCGCGUAGGCGGUCUGAUAAGCCGGUUGUGAAAGCCCCGGGCUCAACCUGGGAACGGCAUCCGGAACUGUCAGGCUAGAGUGCAGGAGAGGAAGGUAGAAUUCCCGGUGUAGCGGUGAAAUGCGUAGAGAUCGGGAGGAAUACCAGUGGCGAAGGCGGCCUUCUGGACUGACACUGACGCUGAGGUGCGAAAGCGUGGGUAGCCAACAGGAUUAGAUACCCUAGUAGUC
rnacentral:rRNA from 1 species